UACGUAGGGGGCAAGCGUUGUCCGGAAUCAUUGGGCGUAAAGAGCGUGUAGGCGGCCCGGUAAGUCCGCUGUGAAAGUCCAGGGCUCAACCCUGGGAUGCCGGUGGAUACUGUCGGGCUCGAGUCCGGAAGAGGAGUGUGGAAUUCCUGGUGUAGCGGUGAAAUGCGCAGAUAUCAGGAGGAACACCAAUGGCGAAGGCGCACUCUGGGACGUGACUGACGCUGAGACGCGAAAGCGUGGGGAGCAAACAGG
rnacentral:rRNA from 1 species